UGGGGAAUAUUUGACAAUGGGCGCAAGCCUGAUCCAGCCAUGCCGCGUGAGUGAUGAAGGCCCUAGGGUUGUAAAGCUCUUUCACCGGUGAAGAUAAUGACGGUAACCGGAGAAGAAGCCCCGGCUAACUUCGUGCCAGCAGCCGCGGUAAUACGAAGGGGGCUAGCGUUGUUCGGAUUUACUGGGCGUAAAGCGCACGUAGGCGGACUUUUAAGUCAGGGGUGAAAUCCCGGGGCUCAACCCCGGAACUGCCUUUGAUACUGGAAGUCUUGAGUAUGGUAGAGGUGAGUGGAAUUCGGAGUGUAGGGGUGAAAGUCGUAGAUAGUCGGAGGAACACCAGUGGCGAAGGCGGCUCACUGGACCAUUACUGACGCUGAGGAGCGAAAGCGUGGGGAGCAAACAGG
rnacentral:rRNA from 1 species